UACGGAGGAUGCGAGCGUUAUCCGGAUUUAUUGGGUUUAAAGGGUGCGCAGGCGGAAGAUUAAGUCGGCGGUGAAAUUUUGCAGCUCAACUGUAAAAGUGCCAUCGAUACUGGUUUUCUUGAGUGUGGAUGAAGUAGGCGGAAUUUGUGGUGUAGCGGUGAAAUGCAUAGAUAUCACGAGAAACUCCGAUUGUGCAGGCAGUUUACUAGGCCAUAACUGACGCUCAGGCACGAAGGCGUGGGGAUCAAACAGGAUUAGA
rnacentral:rRNA from 1 species